UACGUAGGUGGCAAGCGUUGUCCGGAAUUAUUGGGCGUAAAGCGCGCGCAGGCGGUCCUUUAAGUCUGAUGUGAAAGCCCACGGCUCAACCGUGGAGGGUCAUUGGAAACUGGGGGACUUGAGUACAGAAGAGAGGAGUGGAAUUCCACGUGUAGCGGUGAAAUGCGUAGAGAUGUGGAGGAACACCAGUGGCGAAGGCGACUCUUUGGUCUGUAACUGACGCUGAGGCGCGAAAGCGUGGGGAGCAAACAGG
rnacentral:rRNA from 1 species